UGCCCUACAGUCCCCCACCCGGGAACAAGGAGCCGGUAUCAGGCACACCCUAUUAAGCCCACGACACCUUGCUUAGCCACACCCUCAAGGGAACUCAGCAGUGAUAAACAUUAAGCCAUAAGUGAAAACUUGACUUAGUUAAAGCUAAGAGGGCCGGUAAAACUCGUGCCAGCCACCGCGGUUAUACGAGAGGCCCAAGUUGAUAGACACCGGCGUAAAGAGUGGUUAAGUUAAAACAUCACACUAAAGCCAAACACCUUCAAGACUGUUAUACGCAACCGAAGACAGGAAGUUCAACCACGAAAGUGGCUUUAUUUGAGCUGAACCCACGAAAGCUACGAAACAAACUGGGAUUAGAUACCCCACUAUGCCUAGCCAUAAACAUUGAUAGUACCCUACACCCACUAUCCGCCUGGGAACUACGAGCAAAAGCUUGAAACCCAAAGGACUUGGCGGUGCUUUAGAUCCACCUAGAGGAGCCUGUUCUAGAACCGAUAACCCCCGUUCAACCUCACCUUUCCUUGUUUCUCCCGCCUAUAUACCGCCGUCGUCAGCUUACCCUCUGAAGGUCUAAUAGUAAGCAAGACUGGUACAACCUAAAACGUCAGGUCGAGGUGUAGCGUAUGGAAGGGGAAGAAAUGGGCUACAUUCGCUACUACAGCGAACACGCAAAGAUGCACUGAAACGUACGCCUGAAGGAGGAUUUAGCAGUAAGCAG
rnacentral:rRNA from 1 species